GCGCCACUGAUGAGUCUUGUGUGGACGAAACGCGCGUCUGGCAU
rnacentral:hammerhead_ribozyme from 1 species